GGAAGUAAAAGUCGUAACAAGGUUUCCGUAGGUGAACCUGCGGAAGGAUCAUUACUGAUUUAGCGAACCGAGCAUUAGCGAGGUUUUGCGAUCAAUUUAUAUUUAAAACCCACUCUUUAAUGUAUAAAAUUUGUAUUAAUGAUAAAUUAAAAGAUCACUUUCAACAACGGAUCUCUUGGCUCUCGCAUCGAUGAAGAACGUAGCGAAGUGCGAUAAGUAAUGUGAAUUGCAGUAUUCCGUGAAUCAUCGAACCUUUGAACGCAUAUUGCACUUUCUGGUAUUCCGGAAAGUAUGCCUGUUUGAGGGUCAGUUAAAUAAAAAUCGGUGUUGUUGCCGCUUUUCGUGGUGACGCGUCGGAAUUGAGUUGUCUUACCUUCGGUUAAGUGACUUAAAAUUUUGUAUGAUUUUCGAACGUAUUUAAAUUUAUUUGAACGUUUGAUAUCGAAUGCUUAUUAGGUUCGGUCAUCCUCAUGACUCGCGCCUAUAAUUUUUCAUUAAAUGACCUCAAAUCAGGUAAGAAUACCCGCUGAACUUAAGCAUAUCAAUAAGCGGAGGA
rnacentral:rRNA from 1 species